rnacentral:rRNA from 1 species
GAUGAACGCUGGCGGCGUGCCUAAUACAUGCAAGUCGAGCGAACAGACGAGGAGCUUGCUCCUCUGACGUUAGCGGCGGACGGGUGAGUAACACGUGGAUAACCUACCUAUAAGACUGGGAUAACUUCGGGAAACCGGAGCUAAUACCGGAUAACAUGUUGAACCGCAUGGUUCAACAGUGAAAGACGGUUUUGCUGUCACUUAUAGAUGGAUCCGCGUCGCAUUAGCUAGUUGGUAAGGUAACGGCUUACCAAGGCAACGAUGCGUAGCCGACCUGAGAGGUGAUCGGCCACCCUUGAACCGGGGACCCGUCCAGACCCCCUCGGGAGGCCACCGUUGGGGAACUUUCCGCAUGGGGGGAAGCCUUACCGGGCAACGGCGGCUUGGGUGAAGAAGUUCUCCGAUUCUAAAACCCUUUUAAUAGGGAAGAACAAAUGUGUAAGUAACUAUGCACGUCUUGACGGUACCUAAUCAGAAAGCCACGGCUAACUACGUG